GUGUCAGCAGCCGCGGUAAUACGUAGGUGGCAAGCGUUGUCCGGAUUUAUUGGGCGUAAAGGAUGCGUAGGCGGUUAUUUAAGUGUGAUGUGAAAUCCCCGGGCUUAACUUGGGGGCUGCAUUUGAAACUGGAUGUCUUGAGUGCAGGAGAGGAAAGCAGAAUUCCUAGUGUAGCGGUGAAAUGCGUAGAGAUUUGGAGGAACACCAGUGGCGAAGGCGACUUUCUGGUCUGUAACUGACGCUGAGGCGCGAAAGCGUGGGGAGCAAACAGGAUUAGAUACCCUGGUAGUCCAUGCCGUAAACGAUGAGUACUAAGUGUUGGGGG
rnacentral:rRNA from 1 species